AACGAACGCUGGCGGCAGGCUUAACACAUGCAAGUCGAACGAGAUCUUCGGAUCUAGUGGCAGACGGGAGAGGAACACGUGGGAACAUCCCUUUCAGUUCGGAAUAACGUUGGGAAACUAACGCUAAUACCGGAUACGUCCUUCGGGAGAAAGAUUUAUCGCUGAAAGAUUGGCCCGCGUCUGAUUAGCUAGUUGGUGAGGUAAUGGCUCACCAAGGCUACGAUCAGUAGCUGAUCUGAGAGGAUGAUCAGCCACAUUGGGACUGAGACACGGCCCAAACUCCUACGGGAGGCAGCAGUGGGGAAUAUUGGACAAUGGGCGCAAGCCUGAUCCAGCCAUGCCGCGUGAGUGAUGAAGGCCUUCGGGUUGUAAAGCUCUUUUAUCCGGGAAGAUAAUGACUGUACCGGAAGAAUAAGCCCCGGCAAACUUCGUGCCAGCCGCCGCUGUAA
rnacentral:rRNA from 1 species